GCAGGCUCGAAUUAGAUAUUACUUUACAGCAGAAUGGGAAGACUGUAAUAACUGAUACGUGGCAUGUAGUUUUUCUGGUGUGGGUGCAGUAUUCAGGAAAAAAAAGGGUGUGUUGAAUGAGUUGGCAGAUUUAGUCAUAAUCUGCUCCACCAUUGAGCUGGCAGAUUUGAUUAUAAUCUGCUCCACAAAUAAAGCUGGCAGAUUUG
rnacentral:misc_RNA from 1 species